rnacentral:lncRNA from 1 species
AUGGGUCCCCAGAUCCUCAAAAGGUUCUACAGCUGCACCAUCGAGAGCAUCCUGACCGUUUGCAUCACUGCCUGGUAUGGCAACUGCUCUGCAUUCGACCGUAAGGCGCUACAGAGGCUAGUGCGAACGGCCCAGUACAUCACUCUGUACCGGUGCACCCUGUAUAUAGCCUCCACCCUGACUCUGUACCGGUACCCCCUGUAUAUAGCCUCCACAUUGACUCUGUACCGGUACCCCCUGUAUAUAGCCUCCACCCUGACUCUGUACCAGUACCCCCUGUAUAUAGCCUCCACAUUGACUCGGUACCGGUGCCCCCUGUAUAUAGCCUCCACAUUGACUCGGUACCGGUGCCCCCUGUAUAUAGCCUCCACCCUGACUCUGUACCGGUGCCCCCUGUAUAUAGCCUCCACAUUGACUCUGUACCGGUACCCCCUGUAUAUAGCCUCCACCCUGACUCUGUACCGGUACCCCCUGUAUAUAGCCUCCACCCUGACUCUGUACCGGUACCCCCUGUAUAUAGCCUCCACCCUGACUCUGUACCGGUACCCCCUGUAUAUAGCCUCCACCCUGACUCUGUACCAGUACCCCCUGUAUAUAGCCUCCACAUUGACUCUGUACCGGUACCCCCUGUAUAUAGCCUCCACCCUGACUCUGUACCGGUACCCCCUGUAUAUAGCCUCCACCCUGACUCUGUACCGGUGCCCCCUGUAUAUAGCCUCCACCCUGACUCUGUACCGGUGCCCCCUGUAUAUAGCCUCCACCCUGACUCUGUACCGGUACCCCCUGUAUAUAGCCUCCACCCUGACUCUGUACCGGUACCCCCUGUAUAUAGCCUCCACCCUGACUCUGUACCGGUACCCCCUGUAUAUAGCCUCCACCCUGACUCUGUACCGGUACCCCCUGUAUAUAGCCUCCACCCUGACUCUGUACCGUAAUACCCUGUAUAUAGCCUCCACCCUGACUCUGUACCGGUACCCCCUGUAUAUAGCCUCCACCCUGACUCUAUACCGUAAUACCCUGUAUAUAGCCUCCACCCUGACUCUGUACCGGUACCCCUGUAUAUAG